UUCUUCAAUCAAACUUCUCUUGGUUAUUCCUGCCAUGGACACGCCAUCAGGAUCCACUCCGGAUUCUCUAUUUCAAGAUUUCAACCCUCCAAUCAUACCUGCAUCUUGCAUGGCAAAUAAUAUCCGCUCACGGCCUUGGCAGCUGGCUCAAGCGUUCAAGCCUGCUUCCGUGAUCUCCGUGAUCUAGAGGAAAAACAGUAUGCCGCACUGUGCAGCGAGGGAGUAGUAAUGCUGAGAAAACAUGUAAAGAUCCUUAUAGGCGUGGGUUUUGUUAAACUAUUAGUCGUCUAUCACACUUCAUUCUGUUUGACUGCCACCAUUCUCUAGCUUAAGGAGACGACCAGAUCAAUGUCUCCACGAGGAUACUAUUCUAGAUAUGGUGUGUACUGGAGAAAUCAAAUUACAUUAGGUCAUGAUUAAUCUGGGCAAGAUUGCUGUGUUUUCUCGCCAACGUACGGUUGAUGGAAUCUACCUUUCCUGAUUUAUUUGUGCAUUCCAUGAGUGAGGAGAUCAGAAGAAGAAGCACAUUGUCAAAUUGUCAACUCCCUUCUGGAAAUUAUGUCUGAACGACAAAUUACAGCCACUCUUUGGCUAUCAGCGGUGUAUCA